CCCAGUGUGGCCUAGUGGUUUGAGCAUUAGGACUAUGACUCUGGAGACCAGGGUGCAAAUCCCUGUUCAGACA